CCCGAAAUAUUAUCCGAAUCCGAAUCGGAACCCGAACCCGAACGAGAUGGAUUUAUCCGAACUAAACGGGUAUUAUAUGGUUAUGGGUAUAGAAAAUAAAAAUCCAACGGAUAUGAAUACGAAAAUGAAUUUUGUAUUUAUCCGAUUCAAACUCGAACCCGAGUCGCACCCAAAUAAAUUAUAUAUAUACAUAAUUUAUUUUUAUUUAUUUAUAUGAUAUAUAAAAUAUUUAAUAAUUUAUAUUCCUUAAAUUUUCAUCCAACAGUAUGGAUUUGUAAAACCCGUUGUGUUUGGGUUCGGAUUCGGAUUUCGGAUUUUUGGUCGGGUACGGAUAUAAUUAUGGAUUUUUAAAACCCGCCGUGUUCAGGUCCGGGUUCGAAUUUUAAUUUGGCUUUCAGAUUCGGAUUCGAAUUUUUGAAAAUCCGACCCAAACCUGACCCGUUGACAUCCCUAGUUCGAGACCUUUUAUUAUUGUUUCCUGGGUUCUCGUUUUGACAAAUUUUUGCAAAUGCCUCUAAAACUUUACCAAUAAUCCUCUAAAAUUUUAAAUAGGCUAAAUCAUCAAAAAUCUCUAGUAAAUAUCUUUUUUUACUUUUUCUUUUUAACUUUUAAAAAUUUAUAUUUUUUGCUCUUUUAAAAUUUUAAAAAUAUUUUCAGAGCAAUACGGCGUUAAUUGAGAGGACAAAAUAACCAAAUUGCUUUUACUUGUCUUAUAACAAAAAAAAUAAUAUUUUUAAUAUAUUUUUAUCAUUUUGAAUAGUAUUUUCGGUAUAAAUUAUAAAAAAAUGGAUAGAAUAAUAAUAAAAUCCUAAUAGAGAGGGAGGUUAAAUGCAAGAAAAAUUGGGGGGAUAAAAUGUAGAUUUUUAAAAUAUAGAGAGGAAAAGUGAAAAAAUAGGUAUUGAUAAGAAGAUUUUCUGUAAUUUAGCCUUUUAGAUUUUAUAAAUUUCUUUCUAAGCUCAGAUGGGUAUUAAAUGCCAAUUCUACCCUUAUACGAUUUAUUAAAUAUGCUUUUUAACACUUUUAAAGCACUGUAAAUUUUGAAACCUAAUCAGAAUAAUAAAUUAAAAUUUAAAAUUGUCCCCAAAUUUCACUGGGCAUAAGAAUUAAAAUCCAAAACCGAACCGAAUAAAAAAAUAAGAACCCAUACACGAAACUAAAGAAUUGAACCAGACUAUUUAAUAUACUAAAUAUAAAAUUAAAUCAUAUACAAAUAUAAUUAACUAUUCAAAAAUAUAUAUUUAUAUAUAAUAUAUUUUUAUAU
rnacentral:lncRNA from 1 species